AUGAACGCUGGCGGCGUGCCUCAUCCAUGCAAGUCGAGCGAACAGACGAGGAGCUUGCUCCUCUGACUUUAGCGGCGGACGGGUGAGUAACACGUGGAUAACCUACCUAUAAGACUGGGAUAACUUCGGGAAACCGGAGCUAAUACCGGAUAAUAUAUUGAACCGCAUGGUUCAAUAGUGAAAGACGGUUUUGCUGUCACUUAUAGAUGGAUCCGCGCCGCAUUAGCUAGUUGGUAAGGUAACGGCUUACCAAGGCAACGAUGCGUAGCCGACCUGAGAGGGUGAUCGGCCACACUGGAACUGAGACACGGUCCAGACUCCUACGGGAGGCAGCCGUAGGGAAUCUUCCGCAAUGGGCGAAAGCCUGACGGAGCAACGCCGCGUGAGUGAUGAAGGUCUUCGGAUCGUAAAACUCUGUUAUUAGGGAAGAACAAAUGUGUAAGUAACUAUGCACGUCUUGACGGUACCUAAUCAGAAAGCCACGGCUAACUACGUG
rnacentral:rRNA from 1 species